AUUACUGACAUCAAAGAACAAUUUCAGAACCUUGUUUAUGAGCUCAAACUCUGAGCUAUUAAGACCUAUUUAGACCUGCGUGGUGAGAGCUACUGCUGCUGCUACGGCUACUGCUGCUGCUGCUGCUGCUGCUGCUGCUGAGGCCUCUGCUGCCUAAGCCUCUGCUCUGCCUAAGAGUAAGGUGGAUCCCCCCAACCCCAGAGGUGCUUAGCUCCGUUUUGCAGAGUGCUGGAAAGAACAAGGGUGUAAAAGGAGGUGUAACAACCACAAUGUCAAUAUAGCUUCUAAUAAACAAGGAAGACAGGGGAUCAAUCUCUUAUCUGGAGUGGAUAAGGAAACCGGUGAUUCCUGACAGGGGAGGAAAAGUUGUGGUAACUGACAUCAUCAUCAUCGGCUCCCUUUCCUGUGCCAAUGUGGAAGGCCUUUGAAACCACACAACUCAUGGAGGCAAUGCCACAGUUCCUGCUCCAAGUGCUCUGACUAGUGUUCAGGCUUUGGUUUACCCACCCUUGUAUGUAGAUAUCUCAUGCGGCAUAGCAGUGGCACCUAAACAACAAGUUUUUAUUAAGUGAACACUGUCACGCUAAAGCAAACAGUAAAAAGCAAGAAGGAGCCCAUCUCGCCUAGUCACACAGAGAACAUACUGGACAUGGGUUUUGAUAACCCUGAGCAGGCUGUAAGUGUAACUUCCAUGGCUACACUCAUUCCAUGGCUUCACCCAUCCCUGACAUCUCUUCAGAGCUAUAAAUGUGAUAUUGGGAAUAAAACAUGAAAGAAAAAAGGAUAGAAGAAGGAUCUGAAGUAAAAGAAUUCUGAGAAUGGAGUCCAGUCUAAGGGGAAUCCCUAUGGAGGGAGUGUGGUACCCUGUCAGACUGUGAAGCCAGGUGGUCUGUAAACUACAAGAGCAAUGACUGGGUUCCCCUAUUAGAUCAACAACAAGAGGAGAGAGAAUGGGAUUUACUACUACAGGAGAUUUGUUUUUUUUUAGUUUUUAAGAUAGCAUGGAUAUCUUUUUAUGAUAUUACAACAAAAAGCUCUAUCAACAUGUAAGGCUAGAAAUGAAAAGAUAUUCAAGAUCUAACAAAAAGUUGCAUAAUUAACUGUCUGAUUUUGGUUUUAGCUUUAAAAUGUGUUAGUAUAUGCACAGAAAAUAUGUGGAGAAAUACAAACUACUUAUAACGACUUAUGGAGAUAACAUUUUGGUGAAAUUAUGGGAAACAUUUACUCUUCUCAUUUAUAGGGUUGUCAGAAAAGUCAUGCCAUAUUUUUUG